rnacentral:lncRNA from 1 species
AGUUGGCAACUUCUGUUUCAAUAUGUGCAUUUCAUUUCUUGUCUUUUAGAUCUCUUUGGAUGAAAGAUGCAUGCUGACUGUAGGUGCUAAUGCAUCUGAGAGGACUGAAAGAUAUGCUUCAUCACUGCUACCUAGUGUUUCUGCAAGGGCAUUGACACUCAAGAUUUUUAAAGGCAUAGUAUAUUUUUGCAACUAAAAGUGUAUUAUCUCUUGGCCCUUGUCCCUGUGCUGAAUGAAAUUCGGAUGAGGAUGGGAUCUGACCUGUGGAUCAGAAGUUUGUCAAAGCCUUGCUCUAAGAACACUCCUUUUUAAGACUAUUACUAUAUCUUGGUAUAUACGUGCCCAUGUGAUGGUAAUCCUUAUACUUCCUUCACAUGGAGGGUGUGAAGAAUUUACAGUUGGGUCUUUGCAAAGCAGGCUUGUGACACUUGCCACCCAGGGUGUCAGUAAAGGCGAGUUACCCUUCCUGGAAGAACUUUGAAUGAGAUGCAAAGAGACCCUGGGAACUUGACCAGUCAAACUUAGAAGUAUGAAGAGAAUGUAGUGGGAGGAAGUGGAGGCCGUGAGUCAGCAUGAGUCAUUCUGUUCCAAUGAGAAUGAAGGCUGACUGAGAGGCAUCCUGUUCUCAAGGAGGUGGAGCAACCAACUUCUCCUUGCCCAGGAAAGACCAUCAGCCAAGACAUUAGAGUGGUUCUGGCCUUGACUGGUGGAAGAAGCAACCAUGUUAAAACAGCUGGAGGUGUUCAAAGAAGUGUUUGGAGACUACUGGGGAAACCAACCCAGCCAAAUCUGAAGGACUGUGCUGGAGAACAGAGAGAGAGAGAUGAUUGGAUGAGAAGGGUGAAGCCAUAUUUUGGAGGUCCUUGA